rfam:Clostridium sp. ATCC 29733 genomic scaffold Scaffold102, whole genome shotgun sequence.
UGAAUAGAUGGGCAAACCGGGCGAAAGACCGGGACGCAAAGCCAAGGGCCUACCUCCCCCCAGGGGGACAGGGCAGCCGGCUGCACCU